rnacentral:lncRNA from 1 species
GGAAGUUCCCAGGCUAAGGUUGAAUUGGAGCUGCAGCUGCUGGCCUGAUCCAUAGUCAGAGCAAUGCAAGAGCCGAGCCACGUCUGCAAGCUACACCACAGUUCACGGCAAUGCCGGAUCCUUAACCCACUGAGAGAGCCAGGGAUCGAGCCCCCAUCCUCAUGGAUACUAGCUACAUUUGCUACCGCUGAGCCACAAUGGAAACUCCCAUAUGUUUUUGCUUCUGAUAGAACCUAAAACACAGGAAGCUAACCUACCAAAUCUGCCCAAAGGCAAGAAGGAAAUUGUUACAGCUGAAAAAGCUACAUUACCAAGAGACACAUCCAAGAAUUUCAGUGGUUCUCAAGGCCUGAAAAUUAAUGCCAGAAUUUACAGUCUGCACCUGACUUCAUAUCCUUGAAGCUGAACUUGGCAUCUACUUUUGAGAGAAUCCCCAAAGGAAUGAAAAUCUUAUGGAAAACAGUAUAGCUGGGAUUAACAAGGCAGCAUUCUGAUGAGCCCCAACCUAACAAGGCAAGUAGUGUGUAGGACAGUGGGGAGGCUCCUUCUAACUUUUAUCUUCUUAGAAAACUGUAAGCAGUUCAAAAUACCACCUGGCAAAGACUGCUUCUGGACAGCAAACAAUACAACUAUUAGAUGUGAACCAAAACCCUUAGGCAACUUGGCCUUGGUAAGGCACUUCGCCCCAAACCAACAGCUGUGCCUGCCUCAGUCAGAAACCAUGAUGCUAAAUCAAACAUAUACAUGUAUAUGUGUAUGCAUGUAUUACAAAUAUUUAUACAUAUGCAUACAUAUGUACAUACAUACUUAUGACAUGUUAAUCUCAUAUAAACCAAUUUAAAUUUUUUAAAAAAUUUCUCCUUUACACGUAAAAGGAACAGCUUACCUAUUUGCUGCUGAAACACUAGUCACACUCUUCACAACAUACUUGGUGGGAAAAAAAAACAAGAGUGGGUGAACUUUAUUCCUAUAAAGCAGGAGUUACAAAGAAAGAAAAUUCCUACGUGGAGAAACACUUUCAUAUACAACCUAGAUGGAGCAGAACACCAGGCAUCUCCCUAGGACCUAGUGCUCACUCUCAGCUGAUUUUAAUUACAGAAGGAAAGGGGAGCAAGAUUAGGGUCCUGGGUGGGGGGUUGGCUCAAAAACUGGCAGCUGGUAUCAGGGGAGUUCAGACCGCCCAUCCUGGGAGUUGUCAGGGGCGGGGGAUUGGAAAAGGUAAAGAGAGUUCCUUCUCAUGGGAUUUACCUAAGUUUUUUCCCCCCUGUGCCCAAUAAACUCUCUUUCUCCAAAGCAUGGGACCAGAAGCAGUAAGAAGCAGGUAGCAAAGAGGAAGCCAGGUCCAGUAAGAAAUAACUGGGAAAUGGUCCCCUCACUUUUCUAUCAGGCUCACCUCCACUGGGCAUCCCUCCCAAACAGGCAAGACCCUGAACCAGAGUGAGGGCGUUUCCCCGCUUGCAGGGUCACCCGCCUUUGGACUUUGGCUGCUCCGGCUUCUCCAGUCACACUAUCUACCCAGAUGGUCCCUCACUGCAGCCACCACCACAUGCCUGACAAGUGGGACAGUUUCAAGGGCCCUGGACAUCUUGCCUUACAUUAAAGAAACCCCCUUCCAUCUGGUCCUGCCAAGAUACUGAUAGAUGGCCAGAACAUGUUGUCACAUUUUUGUUCAGCGUCCAAGAAGUCUGCGCUAGAGCAAACUCCAACAUCCAUUUGCUCGCCUGGCUGGUCCACUGGGGCCAUCAUAUGCUAAGGCUGUGACCUCGACAGCCUAGCCAGCAAAAGCCAUUGAUUGCAUGAAGCUUCUGUCUCAGGGAAAGAGACCAUGAGUAGGAAUCCGCUGCUUGGUAGGAUGAUGAGCAGGAGUUCAAGUGCACCAGGGCUGACCAAAUCAACCUCAAACUACUUGAGACAGAGUCACGAAUCAAAAAGUUCUUUGACAGCAGCACAGAAAUACACUACAAGAAGUAAACAAGGAAGGCCAGGUGAAUCUGAGCUCUCAGCAGCCAGGGGACAAAACCAAGAGUAAUUUAUUACACAAAUAACUGCUGGCCUCAGAAUGAUAAUGGGUGUUCGCACAGGUAUUAAAGGAGACCAGUACACUGGAAUGCUACGGAAAUACAAUGCAACACAGUACCAAUGCACAGAACCUGGGGGAGUCUCACAGGAGUGAGAAAUGCCCAUCUCAGAUUUACACGCUGCUUCCACUUACAUAACAGUCUCAAAUGACAAGAUCUUAGAGAAGAACAGAUGAGUGGUUACUAAGGACUGGGGAGAGGCAGGAAGCAUGGAGAGUUCUGUAGCAUGGCUGUGCUGGUGGCUGCAUGCAUCUAUACUGUCAUAACAUUGCUUAGAACCACGUGCUCAUGCACACAGAUGAAUGGAUGUGGAAAUCUGAAUGAGGGCUGUAAUUGCUCCAGUACCAACUUCUUGGUUUUGAUACUGUAAUUAUCCACCCUUAUAUAAGAUGUCACCACCAGGGAAGCUGGGUGACAGGUACACAGGACCUCUCAGUGCUAUUUUGGCAACAGCUCAGUCUAUAUUGAAAAAAAUAAAAAAUAAAAUUAAAAAGCAAAGCUUGGCGUUCCUGUCGUGGCUCAGUGGUUAAUGAACCUAACUAGUAACCAUGAGGUUGUGGGUUCAAUCCCUGGCCUUGCUCAGUGGGUUAGGGAUCCGGUGUUGCUGUGAGCUGUGGUGUCUGUCAAAGACAUGACUCGGAUCCUGCAUUGCUGUGGCUGUGGUGUAGGCCAGCAGCUGUAGUUCCGAUUCAACCCCUAGCCUGGGAACCUCCAUAUGACACGUGUGCGGUCCUAAAAAGACAAAAGACCAAAAAAAAAAAAAAAAAAAAAAAAAAAAGCAGAGCUUGUUAGACUAAAACUUUACAAAAUAUACAGGGGGAGGGCCAAAGAGAGAACUUAACCUCAACAUGUUCUGAACACUUUCAGAAAAUACGACCUCCUUCUUUCCUAGCAGAGAACAAGUGUCACUUUAAUUACUCGGUAUAAUAAACAGUUCUCUAAUGCUCUAGGGAGUGGAUUUUGGGAAUAUGAGGGGGAAAUACCAGAAGGGAGACCAACAAAUGCCUUUGGGCAGAGGGGAGAGCUGCAUAUGAAUAUUCCAACUAGAAAGAACAACGCAAUUUAAAUGAUAAACCGAGUCUAAGCAUCCAAGUCUAACAAGGAGAGCGUGGAUCCUAAAGAGAAAAAAAAUUCAACACUGAGAAAUGUAUGGUCUCCAUCACCCAAAGAGAUGGAAAGCAAUUAGGAAGUGGUAUGAAAUGAGGAAGGGUAAAGAAAGUUCUGGCAGGAUCCAAAUUUAAGUUGUGGCCAUAAAGGCAUGGCCAUGCCACCGUGAUUCUCAACUCUAAGGACUCUGCCUGGGCCCCCGCCUUUCUCCCCAAGGGAAUCUGCAAUGUGUGGUGACAGUUUUGGUUGUCACAACUCAGGCGGUAACGGGCAUCUCAUGGCCAGGGACAUCGCUCAACACCCUACAAGGCGCAGGCCAGCUCCAUCCUCCCAUGACGGAUCCAGCCAAAAAGAAAGGGUGCUGAGGUCAAGAAGGCCUAGAAAGAGGGCACACUUGCCCACAUCUGGAAAUCUGAGGCUGAAAAGCACGGGAGGGCUGUACAUUGCCUUGGCCCUUAGCGCACAUCAUUAAAAGAAUAAAAUAAACAGAAGCAAAGCUGUAUUAAAUGACAGCGGCAUAUACUGUAAAAGUGAAGUGUUAUCUUCACCUCGCACUCAACACUUAUUUCAAAGUCCACGGAGGAGUUCCUGCUGUGGCAAAGUGGGUUAAGGACUUGAGGUUGCCACAGUUAUGGUGUAGGUCACAGUUGUGGCCAAGAUUUGAUCCCUGGCUGGGGAACUUCCUUAUGCCACAGGUGUGACCGAUAAAGGAAAAAAAAAAGUCCAUGGAAAGAUUUCCUGGGUGAACCUAAUAAAAAUAAUAAGCCUUAAAGUCAAAGACACACACACACACACACACACACACACACACACACACACCUCAACAGUGUAGUGUGUUACCUAAAUCCCUAUAGUCAGAGCCACCACCACAUAACUGUUGUGCUUCAGGGUUACAAUGCAAAAGAAUGAGAAUCAAAAGAAAAAUCCAUACAAACAAUUCCUUAAAUUUAUGGCCCAGGUGUAAUAAAGUCAGGUUCCUUGUGUGUGCUUUGGCAUUAAAUGACCAGGUAUCACGCUGGGAUUUUCUGGGGGUAGGACUGUAAAUCAACAAGCCGCCUGUCAGUAACUGUGAAGACAGCCUCCCUCCUCUGCUCUGACUCAGAGAAGAGCCCAACAGCGGACACAGAAAUCCAGUAUAUUACAUGCUAAUUUCCUCUGUGAAACAAUGCUUGUCACUAAGACUCUAACAUGAAGUUGGAAAAUCUCUGCUGUCAUAAAUAGAUCACGACACAGUGUGGUCUCAGCUAUGCCUGCUGUAAGCUACACUGACACCCCUCAGAAAACUGCUGCUGCCAAAGAGUCUAAGUAAAAAUGUGCAAACCCUUUGAGCAAACAUUCCCACUCCUGGAAAUUUUUAUCCUCAAGAAAUAUUCAGACAAACAUGCAAUGACCUGGGUACAAUAAUAUAUGUGUGCCGUUUUUUUGUAAAAGCAAAUACCUAGAAAUACCUAAGAUGGACAUAUGAGUGGUGAGAUAUGCCCAGAAGGAUGGGCAGAGCCACUCUUAGACCAGACAACUAGGACUCCUGCCUUGGGCUACAGGCUUUAGAGUGUCCUGUACAUCACAGAGG